ACAACACUCGAACCACCAACAAUCCACCACCACCGCCGCCGUCUUCUGUCGCAAAAACAGCACGCCACCGCCGUAAUCGCACCUCCGCUCCACCGUCCAUACACCGCCAAUCACCACUGUUGUUGCAAACGGCUCCACCGGCCUUUGGCCGCCAGCCUUCUGUCGAGUGGGAGGGGUGACCGAGAGGGUGUUUGGCCUGUGGAAGUGUGUGUAUAAUUUGAGAGAUGAGUGAGAUUUGGUUUGGGUUUUAUAAUAAGAUCGAGAGAGAGGGUAAGGCAUAAACGAUGUCAG
rnacentral:lncRNA from 1 species